rnacentral:rRNA from 1 species
UGGGGAAUAUUGCACAAUGGGCGCAAGUCUGAUGCAGCCAUGCCGCGUGUGUGAAGAAGGCCUCGGGUUGUAAGGCACUUUCAGCGAGGAGGAAGGUGGUGAACUUAAUACGUUCAUCAAUUGACGUUACUCGCAGAAGAAGCACCGGCUAACUCCGUGCCAGCAGCCGCGGUAAUACGGAGGGUGCAAGCGUUAAUCGGAAUUACUGGGCGUAAAGCGCACGCAGGCGGUUUGUUAAGUCAGAUGUGAAAUCCCCGGGCUCAACCUGGGAACUGCAUUUGAAACUGGCAAGCUAGAGUCUCGUAGAGGGGGGCUAGAAUUCCAGGUGUAGCGGUGAAAUGCGUAGAGAUCUGGAGGAAUACCGGUGGCGAAGGCGGCCCCCCUGGACGAAGACUGACGCUCAGGU